rnacentral:antisense_RNA from 1 species
GUGGGAGCUGGCUUGCCAGCGAUGGCGUCGGAUCAGCCAGCAUCAAUGUUGAAUGAUCUACCGCAAUCGCUGGCAAGCCAGCUCCCAC